CAGACAUUGUGGGUACAAUCAACACAGAAUCAUUGUUUGACUUGAACUACAGAUAUUUAUCCGAUAUUCCUCAUUCUAAAAACCAGUGGCAAUGGGAACUGAACCUCUUGUCCAGCGACGGCAUCAAUGACUGUACCGGGUCGGGCUGAGAUUUCCGUGCCACAGAGUGUAAGAAAAUGGAGCGCUGGAAUGGAAAACAGGUGCACUUAUAUUAAACUAAUGAAUGUUAA